AUCCAGUCCCCGGAACACUUACAACUCUGUUAUUAGGAACAGAGGCAUACAUCAGAACUACAGUCUUAUCAUAGAUUCAUACAAGACCAUAAACUGUCUGAAAAGCAAAAGAAAGCAAGCUAGAAGUAACGAGGUCUUCCUGUGAUCACCCCUGGAUUCUCCCAGUCUUCAGGCGCCACCCAUAGGCUGCUUUGAACACUUCUUCCGCCACCAGACUGCUGCGUCUGCUGCUGCCUCCAGACUGAAAAUGAGCCACCCGACCAAAGUGGAGACCAAGCAACGCACGAUCGCGUCGCCCGUAUGCUGCAUAUAACGUAGGCGCCAACCACACGGCAAUUUCGUUUCAGAGAGCUCCAUCGCUGUUUCAUCCAGAGCCCCGCCAAUAUCUCCGAAAUUCUCCGUGGUCAGGGAAAAGAGUGGUGCUAGAGAGAUGGAUGCCCGCGAUCUGCAGACCGUGAUCCUCAAGAUAGCGGUGCCCGUGAUGGCCAUGGUGCUGCUGCUCACGGUGUCGACUGUCUCCAUGACGCCGGAGACUGUGCGUGCGCCUGCCUCCGUGCCUGCUUCUUCCGCAGCGACUACUGUCUGAUGAUCUGCGUGCUCUCCGAGAUGAACCUGGGCCGUCUUCUGGCGAGGGAGGCCGCUCAGUCGCCGACGCUGGCGGAUCGGCGCUACUACGCGGUGGGCGCCGUCGCAUGCUUCGUGGAGGUCGUGCUCAGGCUGUACAUGAUCCUGGUGCUUUGCCCCUCGGCUUAGCUUCGUCGCGCGCGUGUGGAUGUGCCUGCCCAAGGACCGAAGAUGGAUAGUUUUGGAGUCUGAAGAUGCGCCGUUUUGUUCAGUUAUUAUUACUACUACUCUGCUAAGUUUUACUACAAGUUUGGAAAGGGCCUGUCUGGAGAUGUUCGUCCUUGGGUAAAAGACUAUCUUUUUAGUACUACUGUAGCAUUUUGUUGUUGUCUUGUUCCCUAUGUAUGAAGUUGGAGGCAUUUGAAGUUAUUUAGCUGAAGCCUUGAAGGUUGCAACGUCUUAUGUGAGCAGCA